AUUGAACGCUGGCGGCAUGCUUUACACAUGCAAGUCGAACGGUAACAGGCCGCAAGGUGCUGACGAGUGGCGAACGGGUGAGUAAUGCAUCGGGACGUGCCCAGUCGUGGGGGAUAACGCAGCGAAAGCUGCGCUAAUACCGCAUACGAUCUAUGGAUGAAAGCGGGGGACCGUAAGGCCUCGCGCGAUUGGAGCGGCCGAUGUCAGAUUAGGUAGUUGGUGGGGUAAAGGCUCACCAAGCCAACGAUCUGUAGCUGGUCUGAGAGGACGACCAGCCACACUGGGACUGAGACACGGCCCAGACUCCUACGGGAGGCUGCAGUCGCGAAUUUUUCACAAUGGACGCAAGUCUGAUGAAGCCACGCCGCGUGCAGGAUGAAAGGCUUUCGGGUCGUAAACUGCUUUUAUAGGUGAAGAUUAUGACGGUAACCUAUGAAUAAGGAUCGGCUAAUUACGUGCCAGCAGCCGCGGUAA
rnacentral:rRNA from 1 species